rnacentral:rRNA from 1 species
CUGCCCAAUGGUUGUAUAGUAAAACUAAGGACUAACGUCCAAGGUGAAACCCAACUGAAUGGCCGCGGUAACUCUGACCGUGAUAAUGUAGCACAAUAAAUAGCCAAUUAAUUGUUGGCGGGUAUGAAUGGAAUCACGAGGGUCUUACUGUCUCAAGAGGAAAGCCGAUGAAAUUAUAGUUGUAGUGAAGAUACUACAUAAACAUUGUAAGACGAAAAGACCCUGUCGAGCUUUACUGGAUACCGAUAGUGUUAACUUAAAAUAAUCGAUACUAUGUAUCCUGAUUUUGAGUUAAUAAUUUUUGUUGGUAAGACAGUUUAGUUGGGGCGACUACCUUUGAUUAAGAAACGAAGGCAAGCUUAUGGUGUAUUUUAGUUAAUCUCAUUAGCCUGACAGUGAGGGGGACACCCCUAGCUGCCACAAGAAUGUGGGGCGAUAAUGACCCGAUAUGAUCAUCCAAAAUAAAUAUCGAAAGCGGAUAAAAGCUACCGCAGGGAUAACAGCGUAAUAUUGUCGGAGAGUUCUUAUCGAGGACAGUGUUUGCGACCUCGAUGUUGAAUUGCGGUGCCCUGGUGCUGUAGAAGGUACCUUAGGUUGGUCUGUUCGACCAUGAAAACCGUACAUGAUUUGAGUUCAGAGCGUGGUAACACAGCUCGGUUUCUAUCUACAAUGUUCAAUCCCAACUUUUCUGGGCUCUAGUACGCAAGGAAUGGGCUCAGCAAUGCUCGACUAUACUGGUCCCAUUGACGUAAUAAACUUCUGGCUGCUGCAAAGAAGGAAAACAAAAGGCUUAGGGAUUAAUAAGGUGCC